UUUGUUCGUAAUAAACCCCAUAUUAACCAUUAAUCAUUCAUUUCUUCCAUUAAUCGGCAUGAUUGUAGUAAGUUACAAAAUGUGCAAAAAGCUAUGUUUGGGGUGGUAAUCUUUAAAGAAAGGGUGAGUGCAUAAGAAGAGAUCUAAAAGUAAUGCAAAAAGAAGAGACGUGUGUAUGUCCUAAUAAAAAAAAGAGAAAGAAAAGAAAGAAAAAAAGAGAAAUGCACUUGCCGAGACUUAAGACUCUAACACCUGUAAAAUGCUCACAGAGAAUUGAGUUAAAAAGAGUCAAAAGUGAAUAAACCCCCAGAGUUAUGAGUUAAGCACGAAAAAAAAGAGAAAAUCAAACAACAUGAAUGCCGAGUUCAAAACCAUUUGUUAUCCAUUUAUGUGUCUAUCCUACCGUACCCAAGCCCC
rnacentral:lncRNA from 1 species